rnacentral:sRNA from 1 species
AUCUAGCCCCGAUAGCAGCGGCAUCCUUUUUAGUUUAAACUUGCCCCAGCAAGUUGAAACUGAAAAGAUAUAGCGGAUAGCGGGAAUUGCU